ACAGAAGGGGGGUCAAACCCCCGGACAAGUGACACCCUUGCACUUUCGAGCACUCUUCUGUUUCCUCGGCGGGCUCGCCCGCCAGUGGGGACCCUCAAAACCUAUUCGUAAUAGCAGUACCCUCAGAAAUAAAAACAAAAAGUCAA
rnacentral:misc_RNA from 1 species